AGAGGAAAAGUCAUUUCCCAGAGAUCUCAAUCCGAGUGAAAAGGUCACCUUUGGAUGAGCAGCUGGAAAUGGCUCCCGUCUCAGGAGGCUUGGCAGGAAUGCCAGAGCUGGCCCCCGGAGACCCCAGGAGGACAAGAGACAGGCUCUGGCUGACCACCUCCAGAUGCCCUGACCUCUGCCUGUGUGACAGCUCACGCCGGAGCCCCACGCCCUGCCACCCUUGCCCAGCGGCUGGAGGCCCGCAGUUC